UCCCUACCAGAGGACCUCGCCUGCACCGGAGCUUACUCCGAUCUAGAAUUGGAAGCAGGAGACAGCAAAAUGAGCCAAGACGCCAAGAGAAGAGUUCCCAGCACUGUGCCGACGAAGCUGAAUUUCGACUACCGGAAACCCUCACCGGCUGUCACCACCUCCACCAGCAAGCACGUUUGUUGUUUUAAUCACUGGAUUUGAUUCGGAAAUAGGUUUUUCGCUUAGGGAAUUAUGGUUUUGUUCAGGCAUUUGAGACUCAUAGCGUAGAGAAGGACGUGGCGAAAGGAGUUUGACUUGAGGCACGGACCUAUUUGGCAUUGUAUCGUCGGUCGCAAUUUCGGGGUGGCAGUCCUUCAAUCGAAAUGUAUAUUGUUCCUGAACAUGCAAAUAAUGAGAUUUAUAUGAUCCAAGGCAUGGAACCGAAUAUGCAUUUUACCACUCCCUUUGAACAAGUUGAUGCCAUGUACAAAGAAGGAGCCCCCUGGUAUGUAGUUGAUCAGGGCCUGUAGUAUCCUACUGCCACAACCUAUGGGUAGUACUGUACAGGAUAUCAGUCUGGAAGAUUAGAAUAUGCAUAGACUCCAUAUUUUUAAAUGAAGAGCUUCGGAAGGGGUAAAGGAGAUUUUAAAACUAACAAUGGUCUUUGCUUGCUGCAUUUUCAUUUCGAUUGGAGUUUGCAGAUGUGUUUGUCAUUUCCACCAUUAGUGGUUUGAUGUUAUCUUUAUGUCCCUACAUAUUUUUUUCCUUUGUCUAACACCAGUUGGCUUACUUUAAUAUAAGUUUUCUGUACACAGACAUCUAGAAAAUGAUGGAUAACCAAGAUUGGACAAAGAAGAUAAGGGUUCUUGGGAGUUAUAUAUUGUUGGCAUUUAGCCGGUCUCCUUGAGAUCCUAAUAAAUAUAUUUUGAAGCAAUAUUUGUGUUAAAAACUUAGUUUAUUUUAUAAUCUAUAGAAUUGCUUCUGAUGUAUUUGGUGUAUGAUCUGGGUAGUUGACAUAACCUUAAAAACUUUGUGUUUUCUUUGUUUUAUCACAUGUAUCAUAUAUGCAUAUGCAUGAAAAGCAAGUCAGGCUCGAAAUGCCUCUGCUGGAGCUGUGGUUUGAGGCAAAUCAUGUUUUUGGUUUCAAGUCUUUUAAUGCGGGUCUCAAUGGUUGUCAAGGUUCUGGCAUUGGCUAAAGUUUUCUGAUUUUCAUAUCUGCUUCAAUUUAUCUUGCAAAUACUUUUCUAGUAAGGUUAAUGAUUGUGCUCCGCUUUGUUUUCAAACCUUUUAGGUAAAUGCAGAAAAGGUUGUUUCAUUAUAUCAUUCUAUAAAGUAUGCAUUUGAACUAGCAGCACUUCCAUUGCUGCUUGCUAAGAUCUGUCAUGUUUGAUUUCAUUAUCUGAUGGUGUUCGAUAUGGUGAUUGGUGGUUGUUUGGCUUUCAAUGAGAGUUGGAGUACAAGGAUAACGGCUCCACCAACAACGCGGUUAUGGAUUGAAUUCAUGGCUUGAGUUACUGAACUAAUUUUAGCAACUUUCUAUUUAAACAGUCAACUUCCUGACUUCCUUGGGGGAGAUUGCUCAUGUCCAAAUGAAGGCGGGUGCUUAGGUCUGCAAGGGACCCUGGAAUGAUCCAGAAAUUAUGAAAGUAUGAUUUUAGUGGAGUAAUGUUACUGUCACAAAUAUUGAUAUGAAAGUAUGAUUUUAGUGGAGUAAUGUUACUGUCACAAAUAUUGAUACUUGAGAUAUCAAUACUUUGAACUAAUAGGGGGAUGUAUUACGGGCUUUUAUUGCCAAAAAAUUUGCACCAUUACUCAUAUCACUUGUAUUUUGCAGCUUGUACAUAUGGGAUUAUUUAUGUUGAUGGCAUAUUCACCCUUAUUUCUGUUGAGAUUAUUGUUCAUUUUUGUUGUGGAUGGGGGAUGAUUAACAAUGCGAAACUUGUUAGUUGUUAUGUGAUUUGGCUUCCAUGAUAU